GACGAACGCUGGCGGCGUGCUUAACACAUGCAAGUCGAGCGAGGUCCAUCCGGUGGCAACACCGGUGAAGACCUAGCGGCGAACGGGUGAGUAACACGUGAGCAACCUGUCCCGAAGACCGGGAUAACACCGGGAAACCGGUGCUAAUACCGGAUGUCCCCAAUGGGUCGCAUGGCCCGCUGAGGAAAUGGAUUCCGCUUCGGGAGGGGCUCGCGGGCUAUCAGCUUGUUGGUGAGGUAACGGCUCACCAAGGCUACGACGGCUAGCUGGUCUGAGA
rnacentral:rRNA from 1 species